ACGUUCGACACCUACGGGAGGCAGCAGUGGGGAAUAUUGCACAAUGGGGGAAACCCUGAUGCAGCGAUGCCGCGUGAAGGAAGAAGUAUCUCGGUAUGUAAACUUCUAUCAGCAGGGAAGAAAAUGACGGUACCUGACUAAGAAGCCCCGGCUAACUACGUGUCAGCAGCCGCGGUAAUCUGAGCGGGCUGGCAAGGC
rnacentral:rRNA from 1 species